rnacentral:rRNA from 1 species
UACGUAGGCAGCAAGCGUUGUUCGGAGUUACUGGGCGUAAAGGGUGUGUAGGCGGUUGCUUAAGUUUGGGGUGAAAUCUCCCGGCUCAACUGGGAGGGUGCGCCGAAUACUGAGUGACUAGAGUGCGGGAGAGGAGAGUGGAAUUCCUGGUGUAGCGGUGAAAUGCGUAGAUAUCAGGAGGAACACCGGUGGUGUAGACGGCUCUCUGGACCGUAACUGACGCUGAGACACGAAAGCGUGGGUAGCAAACAGG